rnacentral:miRNA from 1 species
ACAUGCUUCUUUAUAUACCCAUA